GUAGGUGGCAAGCGUUGUCCGGAAUUAUUGGGCGUAAAGCGCGCGCAGGGCGGUCCUUUAAGUCUGAUGUGAAAGCCCACGGCUCAACCGUGGAGGGUCAUUGGAAACUGGGGGACUUGAGUACAGAAGAGGAAAGCGGAAUUCCAAGUGUAGCGGUGAAAUGCGUAGAGAUUUGGAGGAACACCAGUGGCGAAGGCGGCUUUCUGGUCUGUAACUGACGCUGAGGCGCGAAAGCGUGGGGAGCGAACAGGAUUAGAUACCCUGGUAGUCCACGCCGUAAACGAUGAGUGCUAAGUGUUAGGGGGUUUCCGCCCCUUAGUGCUGCAGCUAACGCAUUAAGCACUCCGCCUGGGGAGUACGGCCGCAAGGCUG
rnacentral:rRNA from 1 species